AAGAAACAACGGUCGUUUGCCGCCGUCAUUGUGGGGACUCGACGUAUUGCAACGCUUUCGCUCGAGCGCAACCUCCCCGGAGAGUCUUGUCUCGACGGUGCAAGGUACCGAGCAGUAUGCGUAUGGUUCUCUGUGGGCCAAGCGUCUCACGUUUUCUUCGGUAUUCCUUAGGGAGCCACAUUAGGUGCCCAAAGUAGGCAUUAGAUUGUGGCCAACAUAGUUUCCUUCGCGUUCUCUUUUUUUUUUUUUUUUUUUUCACGUCGGUACGUGCCCCAACCCCACAAGAGAAAAAAAAAAAGAAGACGUUGCGGCGCAGCGAAUUGCCGCAUGACCUUAGAAUUCUGCGAUCUGUGAAUAUGUGAUUGCCCAACAUAUUUAUUUGCCUCGUUUGACGCAUUAUAUAUAGUGACUCUAUCUUAGAUAUGUAGAUUUAUUGGAGACUUAUACGUAUAUUUAAAUAUCUUGUUGCGACGUUUUCUGUAUACGUGCAGUGAAUUAACUUUGUUUCCGGUGGCACUUUCUUGCCUUUUAUCAAGCUUUAUCUUCGCAUUUGUAUAUUCCAUUGUAUCUUCGCAUUUCUAAUGUACGAGGGCGAGUCAAAUGAAAGUGAGCCAAGCCACCCCGCGCAAUAAUGGUUCGGUUCAUUGUCUGCGAGGCAUGCGCGCAGCACACUAGGCAUCUCUCAUUUACAGAAGUGACACGCAGGUGUGACUAUAAAGGUUCUUUAAUGCUCUCAUAGACUGGGUUGAACAUGGUUGGGUGACAUAAUGGACGCUCCAAAAUUUGAACAGCGUGUCGUCGUGAGGUUUCUGACAGCUGAAGGUAUUUCCCAAAAGGAAAGUAGUCGCCGUAUGGCUGCCGUGUGCGUUGAACAUUGUAUUUCAUUGGCCACUGAGAAGCGUUGGAGCGAACGGUUCAAAGAAGAAUGUGAAAGUUGCAGAGACGACCCAAGACCGGGCCAAAGCCACAGUGAAAUCCCCCUCAACGAAAUUGCAAAGGUUGAUGAGCUGAUUAGACAAGAACGGAGGAUAAGCAUCGAUGAGCUGGCAGAGCGCGUGAACAUCAGUCACGGUUCGGUUCACACCAUAAUUCAUGAACAUCUCGGUUAUCGGCUCUUGUCUGCGCAAUGUAUGCCCAAGAUUUUGAACCACCACCAGAAGACGGAGAGGUUCGGCGCUGCCUUGACUCAUCUGAUCCGGUAUCCCAAUGUGGUGACGACCUCUUGUUUGCAAUCGUCACCGCGGACGAAUCAUGGUGCCACUACUACGAGUCUGAAACGCGACGGCAAAGCUUACAGUGGAAACAUUCGAAUUCACAUCGCCUAAAGAAAGCAAAAGGCCGCCUUUUCCGCCGGGAAGGUGUUGUCGACUUUUUUUUUUUUUUUCGAUCGUCAGGGGCCAUUACUGACCGAAUUUGCUGAACCUGGAGAGACUACCAAUCAUUUCUGAUAUUGUGAAACGCCGGAUCGGCUGCGUGUCGCAAUCAAGAACAAACGACGUCGAAAAUUGACGAAUGGGGUCAUCUUGCUCCAUGACAAUGCCCGUCCCCAAGUCGUUGAUGUGGUUAACACAAAACUGGCAAAUUUCAAGUGGGAAACGCUGCAACGUCCGCAAUACUGCCCAGACCUGUCGCUUUGCGACUUCUACAAUUUGGCGCAAUCGAAAAAAACAGCUCAAGUGAACCAGCAGAUUCGUGUCGGACGAUGACGUGAAAGGGUCGGCUACAGACUUUUUGAAGCAGCAACCCAAGGAGCUUUAUGAGACGGGAAUCACGCGACUCGUUAGUCAGUGGGACAAAUGUCUCAAUGCAUAUGGAGGCUACUUUUAAAUAGAGUGCCCCAUUUGUCAUAUACUCGCAUUGGCUCACUUUCAUUGAACUCGCCCUGUUAUAUUUUGGAAAACUGGUGCUUUUUACAUGUCCUCUCUGUAGCGACUACAAUUUCCUUGCAAUUACACACAAUACACGACCGGUGACAGCUGCUCCUGCGCAAUACAUUAGAACAAGGGACAGCGUCAUCGACAUUUUCUCCCUGGCCGUUGCAUAUGUACAAAAAAAUGUAAACAAUAUUUGUACUCAACUUCUUCAUUUCAACGCCUUUACAUUUUUCAUUUCAGCGGCAUGCACUGCUUUGCUGGUUUCGAACGGAUAUAGUUCUGAGGUUUGUGUGAUUAUUUUCUUUACUUAUUAAGUACACAAAAAACAUGGAAGCAUUGAUAUCGGUUACUUCGGGCACAACUUUUGGGACAUACGAGUAUAUUCUUUUAUGAAAAAAAAAAUAA